rnacentral:rRNA from 1 species
UACAGAGGGUGCGAGCGUUAAUCGGAUUUACUGGGCGUAAAGGGUGCGUAGGUGGUAAAGCAAGUAAGAUGUGAAAGCCCUGGGCUUAACCUGGGAAGUGCAUCUUAAACUGCUUAACUAGAGUAUGGUAGAGGGUAGUGGAAUUUCCGGUGUAGCGGUGAAAUGCGUAGAGAUCAUGAGGAAGACCAGUGGCGAAGGCGGGUCUCUGGACAGUUCCUGACACUGAGACACGAAGGCCAGGGGAGCAAACGGG